CCUACGGGUGGCAGCAGUGGGGAAUAUUGCACAAUGGGCGAAAGCCUGAUGCAGCAACGCCGCGUGAAGGAAGACGGUUUUCGGAUUGUAAACUUCUGUUCUUAGUGAAGAAGAAAGACGGUACCUGACUAAGAAGCCCCGGCUAACUACGUGCCAGCAGCCGCGGUAAUACGUAGGGGGCAAGCGUUAUCCGGAUUUACUGGGUGUAAAGGGAGCGUAGACGGCUGUGCAAGUCUGAAGUGAAAGCCCGUGGCUCAACCGCGGAACUGCUUUGGAAACUGUAUAGCUUGAGUACUGGAGAGGCAGGCGGAAUUCCUAGUGUAGCGGUGAAAUGCGUAGAUAUUAGGAGGAACACCAGUGGCGAAGGCGGCCUGCUGGACAGAAACUGACGUUGAGGCUCGAAAGCGUGGGGAGCAAACAGGAUUAGAUACCCCUGUAGUC
rnacentral:rRNA from 1 species